UGUCCCGUCUUGAAACACGGACCAAGAAGUCUAUCUUGCGCGCAAGCCAAUGGGUAAAUGGUGCGGUACGCCGCCCAUAACUGGAAACCCACAGGCGAAGACAAAUCGAGUGUUGCGGGAUUACGGGUACGGCCGAUGGCGCAAGCCUUCGUCGGACCCCUCCAUCCCAGGGUGUCCCGUUCGGGUGCUUGCACCCAGCGGACAUCCCCGGAGUGCGUAGGAUGUGACCCGAAAGAUGGUGAACUAUGCCUGAUCAGGUCGAAGUCAGGGGAAACCCUGAUGUGAGGACCGAAGCAAUUCUGACGUGCAAAUCGAUUGUCAGAGUUGGGCAUAGGGGCGAAAGACCAAUCGAACCAUCUAGUAGCUGGU
rnacentral:rRNA from 1 species